rnacentral:rRNA from 1 species
GAGCGUGACGGCGCGAGCAGGUGCGAAAGCAGGUCAUAGUGAUCCGGUGGUUCUGAAUGGAAGGGCCAUCGCUCAACGGAUAAAAGGUACUCCGGGGAUAACAGGCUGAUACCGCCCAAGAGUUCAUAUCGACGGCGGUGUUUGGCACCUCGAUGUCGGCUCAUCACAUCCUGGGGCUGAAGUAGGUCCCAAGGGUAUGGCUGUUCGCCAUUUAAAGUGGUACGCGAGCUGGGUUUAGAACGUCGUGAGACAGUUCGGUCCCUAUCUGCCGUGGGCGCUGGAGAACUGAGGGGGGCUGCUCCUAGUACGAGAGGACCGGAGUGGACGCAUCACUGGUGUUCGGGUUGUCAUGCCAAUGGCACUGCCCGGUAGCUAAAUGCGGAAGAGAUAAGUGCUGAAAGCAUCUAAGCACGAAACUUGCCCCGAGAUGAGUUCUCCCUGAGACUUAAAGUCUCCUGAAGGA